rnacentral:rRNA from 1 species
UACGGAGGGUGCGAGCGUUGUUCGGAAUCACUGGGCGUAAAGCGCGUGUAGGCGGCCCACUAAGUCUGAUGUGAAAGCCCGGGGCUCACCCCCGGAAGUGCAUUGGAAACUGGUGGACUCGAGUCCCGGAGAGGAGAGUGGAAUUCCUGGUGUAGCGGUGAAAUGCGUAGAUAUCAGGAGGAACACCGGUGGUGUAGACGGCUCUCUGGACCGUAACUGACGCUGAGACACGAAAGCGUGGGUAGCAAACAGG